rnacentral:tRNA from 1 species
UGGCUCAGUUGGUAGAGCAUGGUGCUUGCAAUGCCAGCAUGGUGUGUGCAACGCCAGGGUUGUGGGUUCGAUUCCCAC